GAUGAACGCUGGCGGCGUGCCUAAUACAUGCAAGUCGAGCGAACAGAUGAGGAGCUUGCUCCUCUGACGUUAGCGGCGGACGGGUGAGUAACACGUGGAUAACCUACCUAUAAGACUGGGAUAACUUCGGGAAACCGGAGCUAAUACCGGAUAAAAUAUUGAACCGCAUGGUUCCAUAGUGAAAGACGGUUUUGCUGUUAUUUAUAGAUGGAUCCGCGCCGCAUUAGCUAGUGGGUAAGGUAACGGCUUAGCAAGGCAACGAUGCGUAGCCGAGGAGAGAGGGUGAUCGGCCACACUGGAACUGAGACACGGUCCAGAGUCCUACGGGAGGCAGCAGUAGGGAAUCUUCCGCAAUGGGCGAAAGCCUGACGGAGCAACGCCGCGUGAGUGAUGAAGGUCUUCGGAUCGUAAAACUCUGUUAUUAGGGAAGAACAAAUGUGUAAGUAACUAUGCACGUCUUGACGGUACCUAAUCAGAAAGCCACGGCUAAGUACGUG
rnacentral:rRNA from 1 species